rnacentral:rRNA from 1 species
CAGCCGCCGCGGGAAUACGAAGGGGGCUAGCGUUGCUCGGAAUGACUGGGCGUAAAGGGCGCGUAGGCGGAUUGUUUAGUUAGGCGUGAAAUUCCUGGGCUUAACCUGGGGACUGCGCUUAAUACAGGCAGUCUAGAGUGAGGAAGAGGGUUGUGGAAUUCCCAGUGUAGAGGUGAAAUUCGUAGAUAUUGGGAAGAACACCGGUGGCGAAGGCGGCAACCUGGUCCUUGACUGACGCUGAGGCGCGAAAGCGUGGGGAGCAAACAGGAUUAGAUACCCGAGUAGUCCCUGUCUCUUAUAC